GCCCCGUUCGUCUAGCGGCCCAGGACGCCGCCCUCUCACGGCGGUAACACCGGUUCAAAUCCGGUACGGGGUA
rfam:Brachybacterium faecium DSM 4810 strain 6-10, complete genome.